GACAGAGGGUGCAAACGUUUGUUCGGAAUUACUGGGCGUAAAGCGUGUGUAGGCGGCUUUGUAAGUCAGAUGUGAAAUCCCCGGGCUUAACCUGGGAACUGCGUUUGAAACUGGAAGGCUAGAGUGUGGCAGAGGGGGGUGGAAUUCCACGUGUAGCAGUGAAAUGCGUAGAUAUGUGGAGGAACACCGAUGGCGAAGGCAGCCCCCUGGGCUAACACUGA
rnacentral:rRNA from 1 species